rnacentral:rRNA from 1 species
GCCUAACACAUUGCAAGUCGAGCGGAUGAGGGAAGCUUGCUUCCUGAUUUAGCGGCGGACGGGUGAGUAAUGCCUAGGAAUCUGCCUGUUAGUGGGGGAUAACGUUCCGAAAGGAACGCUAAUACCGCAUACGUCCUACGGGAGAAAGUGGGGGAUCUUCGGACCUCACGCUAACAGAUGAGCCUAGGUCGGAUUAGCUAGUAGGUGAGGUAAUGGCUCACCUAGGCUACGAUCCGUAACUGGUCUGAGAGGAUGAUCAGUCACACUGGAACUGAGACACGGUCCAGACUCCUACGGGAGGCAGCAGUGGGGAAUAUUGGACAAUGGGCGAAAGCCUGAUCCAGCCAUGCCGCGUGUGUGAAGAAGGUCUUCGGAUUGUAAAGCACUUUAAGUUGGGAGGAAGGUCUGUAAGUUAAUACCUUGCAGUCUUGACGUUACCAACAGAAUAAGCACCGGCUAACUCUGUGCCAGCAGCCGCGGUAAUACAGAGGGUGCAAGCGUUAAUCGGAAUUACUGGGCGUAAAGCGCGCGUAGGUGGUUUGGUAAGUUGAAUGUGAAAGCCCCGGGCUCAACCUGGGAACUGCAUCCAAAACUGCCUGACUAGAGUACGGUAGAGGGUGGUGGAAUUUCCUGUGUAGCGGUGAAAUGCGUAGAUAUAGGAAGGAACACCAGUGGCGAAGGCGACCACCUGGACUGAUACUGACACUGAGGUGCGAAAGCGUGGGGAGCAAACAGG